GGAGGGGUGGCCGAGCGGUUGAUGGUACCGCACUUGAAAUGCGGCAAGUGAUGAGCUUCGGAGGUUCGAAUCCUCUCCCCUCCGCCA
rnacentral:tRNA from 1 species